rnacentral:rRNA from 1 species
UAGGGAAUAUUGGACAAUGGGGGCAACCCUGAUCCAGCCAUGCCGCGUGAGUGAAGAAGGCCCUCGGGUUGUAAAGCUCUUUUGUCCGGAAAGAAAAGCAUUCGGUGAAUACCCGGAUGUUCUGACGGUACCGGAAGAAUAAGCACCGGCUAACUUCGUGCCAGCAGCCGCGGUAAUACGAAGGGUGCAAGCGUUACUCGAAAUUACUGGGCGUAAAGCGUGCGUAGGUGGUUGUUUAAGUCUGAUGUGAAAGCCCUGGGCUCAACCGGGGAAUGGCAUUGGAAACUGGGCAGCUAGAGUGCGGUAGAGGGUAGUGGAAUUCCCGGUGUAGCAGUGAAAUGCGUAGAGAUCGGGAGGAACAUCUGUGGCGAAGGCGACUGCCUGGACCAGCACUGACACUGAGGCACGAAAGCGUGGGGAGCAAACA